CCAAUCUUUAGCGGACCUUGGCUUGUCCAUGGUCUCGCGAAACUUGUAUUUAAAACCCACUCAUAAAUAUUUUUAAACCAUAUUUAUAUCAUUAAUAUAAAUUAAGA
rnacentral:misc_RNA from 1 species